CCGGACAUAUCUGACAUAUAUAACAGACCAGCAAGUGCCUACACAGCAGCCAAAUAUGCUAAAGCUGGAUCAUAUGAUGAAGAAGGAAAGAGUAUUCCCAAAUCUGGAGUUUAUGCAGAAGCAGGAGUUGGACGAGCUCGUGCUGAAUUCAGUGUAUUUGAGGCAGAAGCCAAAGGUCCAAACGCCUCAGCUGGUGCUGAAGUCAGUGGGACUGGAGCUGGAGCAAAUGGCUCGGCUGAAAUUGCCAGUGCAUCAGCUAAAGCUGGUCCAGUUGGUCUAAAAGUGGGACUAGGAUUUGACACGGGUGCAUCUGCUGGUUUGGAUGGGGUCGAAGCCAAAUUCUUGGGAACUGGAUUCACAAUUGGUAAAAAAACGAGUGUAUCUGUUCUAGGCAAUGAAGCAUCAUGUUCAGUCAUGUGAUCACACAGGUAUGUUUAACUAUGUGAAACUCCGGUUUGGAUCCAACCUUUGCAAAGAUUUCAGGCAACGGCAACAAUUACGAAGACUUAAGAGAUGACGUUAACUUUGGAUCAACAUACUAAAUGGUCAAAUAUUAUCCUUAUAUUGCAAUCAUUAUAAGCAUAUUUGAUCUGUCUGCUUAACUGAAUGCAUGAUGUCAACUAAACUUGAGGCUGAUAACUUCCUUCCUUCAGUACCUGUAACACUGCUGCUUUCAAUAUGUUUUGUGAAAAGUGCGAUACAAUAAACUUGAAUCAAAUAGUUA